UUGUUAAACAACAUUAGCUUCUACUCCUAAAAAUAUCUUCCGGAAUUUAAAGUUGCUUUAAAUAACAUAAUCGGUAAUUUUUGAAUUUGUGAAGAUGAAAAACAACUAUAAUCACAACUAGGCAUACGACCUGAAGAUCUGCUCAACAAACUGGGGAAAAACAAAAUAACAGAACUGCCACGACAGGGAAAGACAAGAAGAUUAAUAAAGGAACGGCUAUUUCAAACAACCAAAAUGUCCAUACUAAGAGUUCUUUGGUAAAAGCCAGGAAGACAGAAGGGCAUGGCUAGAGUAUGCCUAGUGCAAAUUCAGGCAAGGAAACGCAAGAGUAAUCAUCAUAGUAAUGUGCAAACUAUUUAGAUACUUCAUGUCCAUGUCGUCUUGGUAUCCUUGUUCAUGUCAUCUUGGAAUCCUAUGUCCAUGUGCAUGUCAUGGUAUCCCAUGUCUUGUGCACGCGCGUGCUUCAUAAGGACACACCUAAUGUUAGCUACGUCAUUAACCCAAAGUUUUAAAACCAUUUAGCGGGAAUGAUGUUCUCCACGAGAUUGGUAUGUAUAGAGUCAAACCCCAAAGAGGCAAAGAUAAAGCCACGAAUCAUAAUAACUCGUGAUGGUUGAUAUAUGAAAUCUAGAAGAAAAAAGAAACAACUUUAAUUCAUGCAUGACUACAUACUGCCAAUGUUACAUUUAAGAUCAAUAUAAUAGUGUAUGCUCCAGGAUUUUAGAAAGGAUAUAAAUUUUUUGUAUGUUUUGGUUCGGUGAGCGAGUGGAAUGGGUUUACUUUUUCAUGCUCCCAGAGGUUUUGAUUGUAUAUAUAGAUUUCGCCCCCUUUUAGGGGUUUUAAUGAAUUUACUCUUUACUUUAAAAAAAAAAUUACAUUCAAGAAAUUAUGCUCUGAGAUCUGAAAGAACUGAACUCAAAAUUGGAAAAAUAAAGUAUAGUAGGAUCACAAAAUACAUACAACUACACACAGCAAUUUAUAGUCCAUACAAGUGCAUACCAUUCAUACAUUUCUCCAAUCUGUUCCUCCUAUUUUAUUUUAUUUUUUCAUUUGUAAACAACUGUGCAGACCUAUAUAAUUUCAGUUGACGUUCAUAAAGGGAACACAGUGCAAUAAGACAAGAAAACACAAUGAGAUUCAUUACAUAACAAAUAUUACCCCCUUUCAGAUUCAAUGAUUAACUCGUAUAGAAAUAUUAAAAAAAUCCAUUUCAAAAAAUCAAUCCAAAGAUAGAUCCAUGAUCGAUUCAACCUAACUUAUUGCGCUCGGGAAAUCAAAUUACAUAAACAAAAUCUGGGAAAAAGGAAUAGAAAGAAUUACAAGUGAAGAAGGUGAGCUGAUUUACUUACCCAAAACUUUGAGCCUCGGCGGCUAAGUCAGUUACGGAAGGCGGAGACGGGAGGAAUAGUACUACUUCGCGUGGGUUUAGUUUAAAACGAGUCAAAGGGCUUCUGUUCGUACUUUGAUGCCCAAUCAAAAGGGUUGUCAUCAAUACAAUCACCUCCCGUUAUUAUUUAUUUAAUUGAUCAAGUUAAAUUUAUAUUAACCACUCUCUAAUUAAAGACUG
rnacentral:lncRNA from 1 species